GCUACUUCGACUUGCAGGCUGUUCUUUCUUCGUAGUAAAUGUUGCACAAAACUAUUAAAAGUUCACUUUAAAUGUUCUAUUCGGAAAUACUAGAUUAAAACGCACACUUAAGUGCGAAUUUUACUUAAAGCCCUGCUUCGCGGCUAUUCAAAUUCUUUUAUGUUUAUGCAACCCAUGAUUACAAUAGGUAACAGUUAACGACCACGCGUCACACUUUAGCACGUAAAACCACAGGUAUUUCAUAUAGAAUUUUAUAUAAAAUAGACUAUUAUUUUGACAGGCGUCACUGUUCAGUCAGGAUUUUCAUGCUUUUUCAGUGACAAAUAAAGGAUUAAAAGGUAGGACGGGAGCUGGGCUUUAAGCGUCCUAUUAUUGCUUUGGGUAAAUAUACAUUUACACGAAAAUGUGGUUACUAACAAUGGUGUUAAAACUGCUCUUGGGUUGUAAUACCCUGAAAACCAAAUGAGAAAACUUAAACCGGUGAUGAGGUAUCAAAUGUAGUAUAUUUACGCGAGACUUAAUGUUCAGUAGAAAUAUCGACCCACACCAACGUAGAAACUUCAUAUGUGUACAGUAGCUAUUGUACAGUAUGUAUAUUCAUAGCUUUAUUAUGUGGAUUAAUGAUUAAUUUCCUUGUUGAUUAGAUUGAAAUUUUAUCUUCAUUUGUCAUGACUACCACAAAGUUAAAACAAACUGAACCUGGAAUACGUCAACAUUUGGUCAACACCUAUACUGACAGUUGAACGAUAACAGACAGUCAUUCGAGACAAGGACCGACAACCACAACGUUUGGAAGAAUUUAACAACACUUUGUGUCACUGGGAUCUGAAUUUGUAUAGGGUGACCAUCUUCUGAAGUUUUGUCCCAAGUUAUUCUUAUCGUGGAUACAAUAACAAUGGAUAUAUCAAACAAGGAUCCUGCAAAUAUAACAUACAUUUUUCAAUUUGAAAAGACACAUAACGUGGCAGCGUUUGAUGAUUACAUGCGCCAGCACUGGAGUGACUGUUUUAUUUAUUCAGCAAUUUAUUUGGUUGUCAUAUUUAGUAGCCGCUAUGUUAUGGCAAACAGAGACAGAUUUGAACUCAGACCUUACUUGGCAGUAUGGAGUGGGGUUUUAGCAGUAUUCAGUAUUUUGGGCACUAUUGGAACUGUUCCAGAAUUCAUUUGGGCGUUAUCGUACCACGGUUUUGAAUACUCGUGCUGCAGCAGUUCUUACCUAGAUGAAGGAAAAGUUUCUGCAUUCUGGACAAUGCUUUUUGUAAUAUCUAAAGUUGUCGAACUAGGGGAUACUGUAUUUAUAAUUUUGAGAAAACAGCCAUUAAUAUUCUUACAUUGGUACCAUCAUAUAACAGUGUUGAUGUACGUCUGGUGCAGUUAUAUAGACAAAAUAGGCACUGGUAGAUAUUACGUAGUGAUGAAUUUUACUGUUCAUUCGCUAAUGUACACAUAUUAUACUCUUAGAGCAAUGAAAUUCCGACUUCCGAGAUGGAUAAGCAUGUUAAUAACAUGUUGUCAGCUUGCUCAAAUGGCAGUAGGGAUUUUUGUUAUACUCGUAUCUUAUAGUGUUCUAUCUGCAGGAAGAGAAUGUGUCACUAGCUAUACAAACAUAAAAUACAGUCUGACUAUGUAUUUUAGCUAUCUUGUACUAUUCAUGCACUUCUUUUAUACCAGUUAUAUUGCGAAGAGACCAGUAGUCCAUGAAAAGAAACUCUGAAUACACAAAACUAUUUAAAAUUCAAAAGAGUUGGUAACUGAUAUAACGCGUGUAUCAUAUGAACUCUUUCUUUUAAGUAAUUGGUAAGAUUUGACUGAAUGCAGAAGUAAAAGCGAUUGAACUGGUGUGAUAAGAUUAUUUCCUACUGGAUUUUGAAUAUGUGUAUUAUAUUUUGGACCUAGUGGAAAGACAGAACUUACUGGCUUUCUAACUGGACAAUUUUGUUUUAUAUAUCCAAUUACAUACAGUGUAACAGGUACUCGUUGACACAGCCUUCAAAUGACGACAACUAAACAAGAGUUGAUUUUUUAUUUUCGAUUCCAAAAACAAAAGAUUUUAAAAAGAAAUUUUCUUGCAUACUGGACUAGCGUUUUCCGUGACGUUUCAUACUGGAGAACCAUGCCGGGCUGUAAGUGACGUCGAACGAACUAUAGUCAUUCAUGCUGGAGAACCAUGCCGGGCUGUAAAUGACGUCGAACGAACUAUAGUCAUUCAUGCUGGAGAACCAUGCCGGGCUGUAAAUGACGUCGAACGAACUAUAGUCAUUCAUGAAGUAGAACUGGGAAUUAAUUAUAUGAUUUUAUGUAAAACUCAGUAAAAACCCUGAUAGUUGCUUUUUGUUCCUAAUAAUACAAUUUUUGAUUCAGAAAAAAGUUAUUUACGUGCAAUGCAUGGCUGUACGCUACAAAUAAUAAAAGUAAACCAGAAUUAUACAUUGUAAUGCGUCUACAAAUAUCAUCACAUUAUUUGAUUUUACGAAUGUUAAUUAAUGUUUCAUUUAAAAAAAAAAGACUUCUUAACGAUAAUAGUGCUGCAAAGAAAGUCAAAUUUGUUUUCUGCACAUGUAGUUUAUUCUGCUAUUUGUAGAGUAUGUUAUAAAUGUAUGUAUAAACUAGCUUUGACACAGUCUUUGCCAUUUACAUAUAUUGCUACUACACAAAAGGUAACCGUAGUAGAUAAAAAAGAUGCACAACCUGGUAAAUUGUCGAAGUUGUUUAACAUAUCAUUAGGUUGAUUAAGUAUCAAUAUUUUAUCAGAAAUAUACGUUUAUAUACACAAUAUUAAAUAUGAGUUGGAGAUGUUUUAGGAAUGGUGACUAAGAUUUUAGAGUCGAUUAUCGCUUUUUGUGAUGUUUAGAACAAUUUCAGUCCACUUAAUUCGGCUAUGUUUUAUCUCUUGUAAUAUAUAUGAAACACACACAAAAAAAACAGUUUUAUAUUUAUAGUCACUCAGUUUUAAAUUGUUGUGCUUUACUUAAAGAUCUAUAUCUAAAUAAUUACUGCAGCAGUUUAUACACGUGCUCACAGCUAAAAGUUAUUAUUGAGAAUUUAGAUUGUUACAUACAUUCUUGUAAUUGUUCUUCUAUCAUUCAUUUAAGAUUUGUUUAUUCACGGCAUUAAGCAUUUGGUAGUACUUUAUCUGAAGAACCAUGGUCAUGAACGGAAAAAUGCGGUGACCCAUUUCAAUCGCGCAUUUCUCACCUGAAACGUACAGAACGGUAAAUGGGUACUAAGUAUAUUGAACAAGUGGUAAUUUAUUUCCCGUCUUGUGCCAGUCACAUUGUUUCAACAUUUCAUAUGGCAGAGACACGCUUUCGUUAUGGUUCUUUUAGUAGACCUGGCCCCGUGUUCACAAAACGUUUUCAGUCUCAGCUGAGUUUGAUAAAGAAACUUUAUUUGUCAUUUAUAUCAAAAUAGCAUGUUUAAAACUGAAUUUUAAGUUACUAACUAUUUUCAAGUGGCUAUUUAGUACUGAUGGUCAGACUCAGUUGGAAUUUAAUCCUCGAAGGUUUAGUAAAAUUUAUAAUAGAAUUUCAAACUCAAACUCAGCUGAGACCGAAAAAUGUUUUGUGAACAUGGGACCAGGGGGUAGUGUAUAACAUGUACAAUGCCAUUUUCUUUCUGGUCUGGUGCAGGUGGUCAGUUUCUUCAUUUUCAUGUUUCCCAUGCAUCUAACAAGAGCUAUAAUGAAAGAGAGGUUAUUCAACGAACUUUUACUCCAUAAACCAUUAUUGUUAAUCAGGAUAACGAAAUGUAUAGGAGAUUUUAGGAACCAUCCUACUUAGCACAAAGUUUAAAUAGAAAACGUUGGUGUAUAAUAGUAAGAGCUGCAAGUCUUUACACGCUUGUCUGCCCCCACUUCUCCCCCACUCCUCUCUCUGCUCUUCUUUUUUGCUCUUCUUUUUUGUGUAAUUCGCAUACAUAUUUGGUUUUAUUUAUGUUUGGUGUCUGAAUAUUCUGAUAUCGUAAAAUUAAUAUUUUAUGCAAUUGAAUAGUAAAUCACUUAUGGAUGUCUUGUGUAAAAGUAAAAUAAAAUGUUAUGUACUCUGA
rnacentral:lncRNA from 1 species